UACGGAGGGUGCGAGCGUUGUCCGGAAUCACUGGGCGUAAAGGGCGCGUAGGCGGCCUGAUAAGUAGGGGGUGAAAAUCCUGAGGCUUAACCUCAGGGCUGCCUUCUAAACUGUCAGGCUCGAGCACAGUAGAGGCAGGUGGAAUUCCCGGUGUAGCGGUGGAAUGCGUAGAGAUCGGGAAGAACAUCAGUGGCGAAGGCGGCCUGCUGGGCUGUUGCUGACGCUGAGGCGCGACAGCGUGGGGAGCAACAGG
rnacentral:rRNA from 1 species